GGGCUCCGGCUUGGGUUCAGGCUUUGGUUUUGGUUCAGGCUUAGGCUCCGGUUUGGGUUCUGGUUUCGGCUUGGGCUCGGGCUUUGGUUCAGGUUUAGGCUUAGGCUCAGGCUUAGGUAGUGGUUCGGGUUUUGGUUCCGGCUUCGGCUCAGGCUUAGGCUCGGGUUUUGGUUUGGGCUCGGGCUUAGGCUCUGGUUUGGGUAGUGGUUCUGGUUUUGGUUCUGGCUUGGGCUCGGGCUUAGGCUCUGGUUUGGGCAGUGGCUCUGGCUUUGGCUCUGGUUUUGGCAAUGGUUUGGGCUUUGGUUCCGGCUUGGGCUCAGGCUUAGGCUCUGGUUUUGGUAGUGGUUCAGGUUUUGGUUCCGGCUUGGGUUCAGGCUUAGGCUCGGGCUUUGGUUCCGGCUUGGGCUCAUGCUUAGGUUGCAGUGGUUCGGGUAUGGGUUCUGUGCUUGGGUUCAGGCUUAGUGCUCGGUGCUUUGGGUAUCGUGCUUGGGCUCAGGCUUAGGCUCCGGUAUCGGCAUCGGUUCGGGCUUUGGUUCUGGCUAGGGCUCAGGCUUAGGCUCAGGUUUUGGUUUUGGCAUGGGCUCAGGUUUUGGUUCAGGCUUAGGCUCCGGCUUAGGCUCAGGCUUAGGUUUUGGUUCUGGCUUGGGCUCCGGUUUUGGCAGUGGUUCAGGCUUGGGCUCAGGCUCGGGUUUUGGUUCAGGCUUAGGCUCAGGUUUUGGCUUUGGCUCAGGCUUUUUUGGCUUUGGCUUUGGUUCAGGCAUAGGCUUGGGCAUCGGUUCGGGUUUGGGCUUUGGCUCUGGCUUCGUUAUGGGUUUAGGUUGAG
rnacentral:lncRNA from 1 species